CGAACGGGUGAGUAAUGCGUGACCAACCUGCCCCAUGCUCCAGAAUAGCUCUUGGAAACGGGUGGUAAUGCUGGAUGCUCCAACUUGACGCAUGUCUUGUUGGGAAAGUGUUUAGUGGCAUGGGAUGGGGUCGCGUCCUAUCAGCUUGUAGGCGGGGUAAUGGCCCACCUAGGCUUCGACGGGUAGCCGGCCUGAGAGGGCGGACGGCCACAUUGGGACUGAGAUACGGCCCAGACUCCUACGGGAGGCAGCAGCU
rnacentral:rRNA from 1 species